GGGGAUUUAGCUCAGGGGUAGAGCGCUUGCCUAGCAAGCACAAGGCCCUGGGUUCGGUCCCCAGCUCCG
rnacentral:tRNA from 1 species